rnacentral:rRNA from 1 species
UACGUAGGUAACCUGCCCUGGAUGGGGGAUAACAACUGGAAACGUUGCUAAUACCGCAUGAAGCCAAGACACUGGGAAGUGACUUGGUAAAAACUCUGGUGCUUCAGGAGGGGCCUACGGCCGAUUAGCUAGUUGCGGGUAAGAGCCCACCAAGGCAGUGAUCGGUAGCUGGUCUGAGAGGACGAUCAGCCACACGGGAACUGAGACACGGUCCCGACUCCUACGGGGGGCAGCAGUGAGGAAUAUUGGGCAAUGGGCGGAAGCCUGACCCAGCAACGCCGCGUGGAGGAACGACGGCCUUCGGGUUGUAAACUCCUUUUACGGGGGAAGAGGAAGGACGGUACCCGAGAAUAAGUCACGGCUAACUACGUG